rnacentral:rRNA from 1 species
UACGGGGGGGGCAAGCGUUGUUCGGAAUUACUGGGCGUAAAGGGCUGGUAGGCGGCCAACUAAGUCGGAUGUGAAAUCCCCAGGCUUAACCUGGGAACUGCAUCCGAUACUGGUCGGCUUGAAUCCGGGAGAGGGAUGCAGAAUUCCAGGUGUAGCGGUGAAAUGCGUAGAUAUCUGGAGGAAUACCGGUGGCGAAGGCGGCAUCCUGGACCGGCAUUGACGCUGAAAAGCGAAAGCUAGGGGAGCAAACGGG